AAAAGAAUGUAUAAUUUACGAUUAAGGAUGUCUACUGUAUUUUGUUUGUAGCGUAUUUGUAGCAAACUUUACUAUCAGUUUGUAACGAGAAAUCUGCUUAACCGACGAUUGGUAAAACGAGAAUCUACUUUAUCAGCAGGCAAUGGAAAAAUAGAAAAUAAGAUUGGAAGUAAUUACCCGACAUGCAUUACGCGUAAAUUUGAAUUUAAAGAAGAGGAGAAAAAGAAAUUCAAGAAAAAGAAAAAGUAAAUACAUGGGACAUAUUGCCUGCUGAUAUGACGUUUAUUUCUUCGUCAAUGAUAGUAUAUCAUCUCUGUAAUAUAUUGACAUAAUACAGUAAUUAAAAAAUAUAGUCCGUUUUCUAAAGGUGCAAUCAGUAAUGUAGGUAAAAUGUAAUAAUGCUAGUUAAACGUUUAUGAUCGUUGUGUGUGACCGUAACUCGAUAUAUAAUUAGACCAAACGCUACGACUCCACUGUAAUUGAAUAAAAUGUUAUUACAAAAUA